rnacentral:lncRNA from 1 species
CCGAGGGCGCCGUCGGGGCCGGAGGCGUCCGCCCGGCAGCCGAAGUCCGUCACUGCCGGGCGCGCUCAGUGUCUGCCCUGCCUCUGUACCCCAAGUGGGAGGCGAGAGCGACGGGUGCGCGGGGUCCGGGCCGGCUGCUGGCGAGCGAUUGGCCCGCGCGAGCGCCUUCGCCCUUCCGCCACCUAUCUCGGCAAAAUGAAGUUACUGACGCACAAAAAACCUUCUGACCGCUCGGGAGUCUUCGGAUGACAGUCCCAGAGCCCACUGACCCACUGCAGAAGUUUCCAGGGCUCUCAAGGACCAUGCCGGGUGUGUGCAGGCUCAGAGCAGCCAGCCGUGCCCGGCUGGGAACGCCCCUGUGUGUUGCACAGCAGCCUUGCUUCGCCGGGACAGGAUUCCUGGCCCAGGAAGGAACCUACUACUCCUGGAAGAGUUUCUGAAACAAGCAUGGUCCAUUUGGUUCCAAGAUUGAAAGUAAUUUUACACUGGCAGCAUACUUCUGGAGUGAUUUGCUAGAAAGUUUAUUUAGCAGGGAUUAUCAAGUUAAUAGAAACACUUGCUAGAAUUGUAUUGACGGAAUGGUGUAUAAAAUUUACAUUAAAUAUAAACAAUAUCAAUCAUUUUCUUUAUUCUUUUGCUGCUUCUCACACUGUUUUCCUAUCAUUUUAUGACAAAAAUUUUCUCCACUUCUGGAA